rnacentral:rRNA from 1 species
UGGGGAAUAUUGCGCAAUGGGCGAAAGCCUGACGCAGCGACGCCGCGUGAGGGAUGAAGGCCUUCGGGUCGUAAACCUCCGUCAGGAGGGAAGAAGUGUCGGCGGGCUAAUAUCCCGCCGGUUUGACGGUACCUCCGGAGGAAGCACCGGCUAACUCCGUGCCAGCAGCCGCGGUAAUACGUAGGGUGCCAGCGUUGUUCGGAAUCACUGGGCGUAAAGGGCGUGUAGGCGGAUUGUUAAGUCAGAUGUGAAAUCCCGCAGCUUAACUGCGGAACUGCGUUUGAUACUGGCAAUCUAGAGUAUGGUAGAGGGUGACAGAAUUCCUAGUGUAGUAGUGAAAUACGUAGAGAUUAGGAGGAAUACCGGAGGCGAAGGCGGUCACCUGGGCCAAUACUGACGCUAAGGCGCGAAAGCGUGGGGAGCAAACA